AUCUCUCACCACCAAAAUUAUUCUAUGUGGACCAAGUAUGUGUAAAUGACGUUUUUGCCAUUAAUGAUGGGUCAAUAUGAACCCUUUGAUCAAAUCAUUUCUGUUUUAAUGAGAGUCAUUAAAUCAUGAGAAGAAAGAAUGGAUGAAAUAUUACAAGAUUGCCAUUAAUGAAACUUAAUCAUGAGCUGUCGGAUCUUCUCAUCAUGUUUUAAUUUUGGCCAUCGAUUUCACUCAUCUCUCCUUCACUCUCAUUCUAUUUCCUUAUCUCAACCACGUGAUCAACUCACAGCCACACAAUUUUCGUUAUUUCAUCCGCAUUCGACUGGGUACAACCAGUAUAACUCUUACAACUAAACAUGUUAAAAAAUUGAAUAACUAGUAUAUAAAUGUUAUAAUUUAUGUAUUAUAUGUAGUUACUAUAAUCAACACGACUAAUAAAUCAUGGUUUACAUAUGAAAUAAACAAGAAAAUAUCGUAAUUGGUAUCUGAAGACAAAAUUUCAUCUAUUUUAUUUGAGACUUUUCAUAUUUUUGUUAAAUUAUUACAUUACACUAUUAAUUUUACAUUAUAUAUUUUUUACUUUUAAGGUUUGUUAACUAUAUUAGCUAUAUUAUUAUGAUAAACAAAUAUCAAACAUAUUUUUACAAUGUUAUGAUGUGAAAAUAUUGGUAAAACCCUAAAAAUAAACAUAUAAACAAUUGAUAUAUAUCUUUAUUAUAUAUUAGACGAGUAUUACUGGUACAACUAGUACAACUUUGACAUUUUAGAAAUUAAUAAAACCAAUUUGGUAUUCCAUAUGAGAAAACAAUCAAAUAUCACAAUUAUUAUGUACUCAAAAAGUUUCUCUUCAUUUAUUUGUAGUUUUGGAAUUAUUUUUUUGAAAAUUAUUGCACAAUUCCAUAAGUUUACAUGAUCUACCUUAUACUUUUAAGGUUUGUAAACUUGUUUGUCCACAUAAUUUUUGGAAAACAUACAUGAAAUAUAUUUUUACAAAAUUGUUUAUUUCAUUGUAACCGGGCACAGACAUGUAAACAUAAAUAAGUGGUACAACUGAAGUAACUUUAUUUAUUAUGUGGUACAACUAAUAUUUUUCAAUUUCACAGCUACUGUACAACUAUGCACAAACGGGUAUAACUGAAAAACUAGUACAACUAUGUUAUAGCCGGUAUAACUAACAAACUGGCACAACUACUUGGUAUUUUAUUCAGUAUUGUUUUAAAUGUGCAUCACAUUUUAAAUGUGUAUCAUGUUUUAAGCAUUGUGGUUUUACACUAGUGUCGAGUAUUGACUAAAAUACCUGUAAAUUUAAACUAAAAAAAUUCAUAAGAAAGAGGAUCUUCGGGUUAAUUUGGUGAUUUAUAGGGCUCACUACCGGGCUGAGAUGGUGCAUCCGUUAACGGUUUCGGGAAAAGACCACCUUGAGAGUCCGGUUGAGAUGCUAUUUCUCUUUCGCAAUUCCAAGCUCGCUUGGUUGGAUUUGACAAGGACACACCAUUCUUCUUCUUUUUUUGUUCGUCGCCGGUGAGUCGUUCUUAUUCGUAGUCAGCGCUCUCACCUUCUUCUUUCCGGUGAAUUGCAUUAUAGAGCCAUAGUUGAAGAAUUUUCUGGCUCCGCAUCUAGUUUUGUGGUCUCGAGAGAAAAAUAUGAAGAUGAUUUUUCCCGAAAAAUAGUACAACUAGUAUAACUAGUACAACUUGUAAACGUAUCAAUAUCCAAAUCAAAUAUUAUUAAAAAUAUGCUAUUCAUAUAUUUGACACAUGCAGCCGGAGGAGAUUAGACCAAUAUGUCUUAUUGGUUCUACAUCAUCUUCUUUUAUAGCAUUUUCAUAUGCUGAAAACAAUAAAUAAAAGAAAUUAUAAUGCCAUUUCAUAAUUUCUCAAAGCCGUGUCAUCUUUUUUUUUUGGUGAUAAUGAACAUGGUGAUGACGCAUAAGAAAAUCACUUCUCAAAUAACGUCUAGGUUAUACUUAAUAUAUUUAUACUAGUUACACUCGUUUUAGUUGUACUAGUUGGAGUUGUACUAGUUGUACUAGUAAUACUCUGCGUUCUUCUUUAUCUUGAAGCUCGUAUGUAAAAGAUGAAAUUUGAUUUUGGAUAAUAUAUAAUUGACUAAAUCUUUCUAUGGGUUGAUCGAUUUGAGAUAAGAAAGUGAAAAUUAGUGGAUGGUUGAAGAAAAUUUUUGAUUUUGUUUUAUGGUGAAAGAACUAAUAAUGGAGAAGAAAAGGGGAAGAAGAAGAAACUUUAGGUUAAAGUUGGGUUGAAUUUCGGGUCUGAAACCAGGUCGGAUUCUGGGUAGGAUAGUAAUGGCAUAGGUUAGUAAAUAUCUUUAAGUCCUUAGGCUUUUUAGUUAUUUUAGUUAGAUUUCUAUUUAAAUUUAAAUGUAAAAAAAAAAGAAAAAAAAGAUGGGUCUAAUUCAGAUUUUUUGGAACCCAAUGGUCCAUACUAGCAUUUGUUUCGUUAUUUCCUUCAUUGAUGGCUCACCCCUUGGGUUUGCAAAUUGCAAUGGUAAAAAUCCUCUAACUUCACACCGCCAUUGGCUUUCGAGGGUUUGACGGAAAUGAAGCGACCGAGGAGGAGUGGCGGAGCGAGCGGCGCAGGAACCAACCGGUAUCGGGGUAUCUCUAACUCUCCGAGCAGUACUUAGGGUUUAAGCAGCCUGACUCGGUCUACAGUUUCUCUGAUGUUCUUGAGAGAUGUAAACAGGAAGAAGUUGCGAGCAAGGCAAGAUAUUUUGACAAGAUGAAAAGUGAAGCCGAGAAUUGCAGCUUAACGCAAGGUGAUAAACUCUGCAAUGAGAAAAAAUGGAGUUUGAGGGUGCAACUUAUACAAAGGCAUGUCCUUCAUUGCUUAAACUAGAAUGCUUGGCUUUUCUAGUCUGUGUUUUAGCACCGAUCUUAGUUGCUUUUUAAUGGCUGUGUACCUUCAAAGAAGGCAAUAACAAGAAGAAGCAGCAGAGCCCGUGGGAGGAAGAGAGCUGCACAAGAGAUUCCCCUGCCUUGAUAAUUUAGAUUUUGCAGAAGAAGAAUGGCUGAAGAACAACUUUACCAGCAGAUGUACCAGCUAGGAGAUGUGCUCAACGAAGCCACUGAUAGCUUGAUUUUUCAGGGUCUGAUCCAUGAACGACAUGUUCAACUCCUACAUGCUGCUGGAAUAUCUAGCUACACUUUGCUGAUAACCUAUAUGAGAGCUGGUUCUUAGUUUUUUUAGUUAAAAGUUAAGAGACGGAUUCUUAUAUUCCGCUAAGAAUCUCACCCUAAGAACCCUCCAAUAAUCAUGCUCUUAGCUUCAGCCACACUCAACAUCAUAGUUGAAGAAACAGACCGCAUUAGGGAUUUGAGAACCGCUGAAAAGAACCUCCAGACUACUGCCUCCAACAUUGGGAAAACGGAUCAAAGGCACAAUUUGAACAAAAACAAGAAGAGAAUUGAGGAGCUGACUACCGCUCUCGCCUUGCGUCCAGACACUGCUGCCAACGUUGGUCAGAGAGCGCACUGGACGAGGGAGAAAGAGGCUUGUGAAACACGUGUAGCUAACAUGGAGCAGAACAACUGACCAAUCCCCACGUAUGCAUUUCUAAAAAGAAUAUACGAUGCAUCUCUAGACUUUUAAGAAAAAUUCCUUCUAUGCAAAAUGUUGAGAAUGUUUUAGCUUUGUGAUUGUACGGUUCCAACAAGGUAUUUGCAUUGUGGGUUGUGGCUUGGAACCAUUCCCACUUGUGAAUCCGUUUUACAAGGAUUUUGGACAUGAACCAUAUUUUUACAUCCUUUUUUUUCUUCUUAAAACAAGUUGAACAUA